CCGCUCACAGUCCCAGUGAAUGGGAGAGGAGCGCUUAACCCUCCAGGGAAGGGACAGAAAUACCUGGAUGACAACCCGACCUUCCCCAGCGCCUGCCUCCCCAGUGGUCAGAAGCUCUCAGGGCAGCACCUUGGCACAGGGGCCCACUUGACAGUCUCAGUGAAGUGACCUGUCGUCAGAAAAGGAAAACAGAAUUUUCAGUUACUGGAAGAGGGGGAGCUGGGAAGACAAUACCCACCCUUUACAUGGACCCCUCCAGCCCUAUGCCAUCUUCUGCACAACAAACCCCGAGGGCCAACUCUGUGCUGAGGCAGGCACUGGAAGGUUCCUGAUGAUUGAUCCUCAUGUGAAGGGGCAGAGGAAGGACAUGAAAGAUGAAGGCCAGCACUCCUACCCUGCAGCACAAGGAGCAGUAGGAAGGAACAAGACAUUGGAGACGUCCUUUUCCCAUGAACUUCAAAACCUGGGAGAUGACUGGAUCAAUAGACUGUCAUUUUGAAAGCAACUAAAGGACAGGAAUAUGAUGAUAAUCAGUGGGGUGCAUGGGUUUGUCAGAUACAAAUCCUAUAACACUGAAACAUUGCUUUCCAUCACAAGAUAACUGGCUUUGGCUUGGGGCCAACAAAAAGUAGAUUUAGGGGAAUAUUGAGGUUCAGUGAAGAAAUCACUCUCACUUGAGCUUUCUCUGAAUCCUAACUUGGGGAAGCGACAGCAAAUGCACUAGUUCUUCUAAACUGGGGGGAUGGUGGGGGAAAAAAAGGAAUGAGAAACUGCAGUUUGCUCAUCUUGAGACCGUGGCUGAGUUCACUUCCUUUCACCGAAGGUGAAAUUCUUCCACUGAGGCAGGGUUGUGCCGGGGCUGUAAAGCUGUAGAGGAAGAAUGUUUAUUGAUUGAGUUCAUGCAUUUUACAAGGAAAGAGAUGCCCUGGAUUGCUCUGAUUCUGUUUUAUGGUGUAACUGUUUCUUAGAGCAAAGUAUUUUAUUUUUAGGCAUCAGCUGCACAUAGUCUGGUGGUCCUCAGUUGCCUCAGGCAAGUAUUUUGUUUUCUGAACUAGAAACCAAGAAAACUUAAGGCAGAUGUGCAACCUUCCUCCUCUGCAAGCUCCCUCCCCCCAGCCCAAGCCCAGCCCCAAUCCAGGGUGAGACCGUGAGGAACACUCUGGGUCUGGGGUGAAAGCCCUCUCACCCAGCCUCUUGGUCCCAGCUGUAGCAUGGCCUCUGGGGCGCUGCGGGUGUGUGCGGGGUUGACUGUUUAAUCUUGUGCUGUCUGUCUGAUAUAUGAGCAGGAGGAUCUGUCAUAUGGGGUUUAUCUUGCCUCACCAAUAAAUGCAAU